rnacentral:lncRNA from 1 species
ACAGUAUGUCGUAUGAUAGCGGGCCGGUAACACGUUUUUAAGCAAAAGAAAGUAUUGCAUGUAAAAAUUUCUAUAACCUGGUUGUACCACAACGGUUGAAUGUCUCACAUUAUGCUAGCCUAAAACGUUACUUAAGAUAUAUUUAAUUCAACCAGGACAUCACCAAAUUGCACUUAUUUAAAAAGGAAUUUAUAAAUUUAAUUAAAGGAAUAUGUCCUCAAUAUCGCAAAACUUAAUACCUGUGGAAAAAAAGGAGCAGAUUUCUUUAUCCCAAAAGUUAACAAUUCAUGAACAGCAGCAUCAACUGUAUGCUUUGAAAUGGAGUGAAUUCCAAUCAUCUAUAGUUAACUGUUUUCAACGGCUGCGAGAUGAAGAAGACUUUGUGGAUGUAACUAUAUCUUGUGACCAGCGAUCAUUUGCUGCUCAUAGAGUUGUGCUCAGUGCCUGCAGUCCUUACUUUCGUAAAUUGUUGAAAUCAAAUCCCUGCAAACACCCCAUAAUAAUUUUACGAGAUGUGUACUCAGAACACAUGGAAUGUCUUCUAAGUUAACCCUUAUGUUAGUAACCAACUUUACCGACGUCUUUUAGCAACCGGGUACCGGGAACCCACGAGCUGAGUAUUGAAAAGUUUGUUCGUUUUAGUAAAAAAAAAAUAUAAAAAAAUUUUUCCUUCAAAUAUUAAUAGUCGGUGACAUUUCAAUGAAAAAAAAAUAACAACGUAGAAUCCUGAAUUACAUCUGAAACCAAUUUGGGACAACCCAGAUAAUCGGCCGGUUUUUAUUCUUCGGAGCCGAGCAGAUUCCAUUCGAGACAGAAAGAAAAACUCAAGGUUAUUUUUUUGUGUCUAUCGCGCACUAGAUUCGAGCAUUUUUUAGUACGUAACAGAUUUUUGGUGGGAUCAGACUUGUUUCAUUUGGUGCUCUCUUGACAGUGAACAAUUAUCGAGAGCUGACUAGGCUCGGUUAAGUGCAACCGAAAAGAAUGAGUACUUGAGGAAACUAGUUGGAGUACACGACAGUGAUCCGAAUAGGGUUUCUACGAUGACGAAGACUGGAUUCCAGCAAAUAGAGUCAGACAUCAAAAUCAACAAGGUAAAUCAGUGCGUGACAAACCAGAAGAUACAGAAGAAAUCGCUGAAGAGAAUUCAGCAGUAGAAGAAGGAGAAGUUGAGAGUAGCGAGAGUGAGGAUGACGACAAUGAAGUAGAAACAGAAGGAAGAGCUCUAUCUAGGAGUUUUACUGCCCAAGAUAAAACAGUGUAGAACAAAACUUCACCAACUCAGCAUCAGACCACAGCUCAUAAUGUUGUACGNCAGCGGAGUGGGCCUCAUCGCACUGCCGAACGUUGUCAAUUACCGAGACUUUGAAAAAACUACUCACAGUAAUAAAAAAGCUGAAACAAUUUUCCAAGAGUACAAUGCUAACCAUCCAAACUCACAGCAUCAAUGGAAGCCCGUUACGAUACCCGAAAUUUAUUCGUUCUUCGGUAUCUUGAUUUGUACUGGCGCAAACAAUUCGAACACAGAUCAUACAUUUGACAUGCGUUUUCUGCGAUUCGACGAUAGUAUUACUUGAAGUGAACGUAAAAAAGAAGACAAGGCAGUUUCUAAAAAAAUAAACCAUUCUGAUAUCGACAAUGCAUUCAGAUAUAUCAGUUGGUGAUGACGCUAAACAAAAGCCAGAAGUAAUAAAUUUUUAUAAUAAAUAUAAAGUAGAUACAAUGCAUCAAAUGGUGCAGAGAUACACCAGUCAACGACGAUCUUCGCGAUGGGCAAUGGCAAUGUUCUUCAACAUGCUAGAUAUUUCUUCACUUGCGGCAUAUAUAAUUUAUUAUGAAAAUAAUAAAAUUAUUGCCAAAAAAACGAUGGAGCGUCGUCAAUUUAUGCGUAAACUAAGUGAAGAACUUGCAUUGCCGAUUAUUGAAAAUCGCACGGCGAAUCCACAAGUAAUGCGCCACUUCUCCACAAAGAUUGCCGUUGAAAGUAUAUUAGGUCAUACACUGACAGAAACAGUCGUGAUAAAUCCUGGUCCAGAGACUCCAAAAGAUAAAACCGGAAGAAAAAGGUAACAGGAUCUUGUCAUGACUGCAAUGCUUUUCCAAUAAGAAGAUGCUGAAAGACACGGAAGACCUGUACCAACUGUCACCAACCUGUUUGUGACAAGCACCUGUUGUGAACAGCAGUUAAUCGUGUAAAAUGUGUUCAAUGUCCUUAAUUAUAAAAUAACAUUUCUUUAUGUUUUAAUAAAAU